GGAUGAACGCUAGCGGCAGGCGUUAACACAUGCAAGUCGAGGGGUAACAGGGAUUGCUUGCAAUCCGCUGACGACCGGCGCACGGGUGCGUAACGCGUAUGCAACCUACCUUCUACAGGGGGAUAGUCAAUAGAAAUGUUGAAUAAUACCCCAUACGAUCUUUGAAUAGCAUUAUUUAAAGAAGAAAGCUCCGGCGGUAGAAGAUGGGCAUGCGUCCUAUUAGUUAGUUGGUAAGGUAACGGCUUACCAAGACUUCGAUAGGUAGGGGUCCUGAGAGGGAGACCCCCCACACUGGUACUGAGACACGGACCAGACUCCUACGGGAGGCAGCAGUGAGGAAUAUUGGACAAUGGAGGCAACUCUGAUCCAGCCAUGCCGCGUGCAGGAAGACUGCCCUAUGGGUUGUAAACUGCUUUUAUACAGGAAGAAAUAUACCUACGUGUAGGUAUUUGACGGUACUGUACGAAUAAGGAUCGGCUAACUCCGUGCCAGCAGCCGCGGUAAUACGGAGGAUCCAAGCGUUAUCCGGAAUCAUUGGGUUUAAAGGGUCCGUAGCGGUCUUUUAAGUCAGAGGUGAAAUCCUACAGCUCAACUGUAGAAUUGCCUUUGAUACUGAAAGACUUGAGUUAUUGUGAAGUAGUUAGAAUGUGUGGUGUAGCGGUGAAAUGCAUAGAGAUCACACAGAAUACCGAUUGCGAAGGCAGAUUACUAACAAUAUACUGACGCUGAGGGACGAAAGCGUGGGUAGCGAACAGGAUUAGAUACCCUGGUAGUCCACGCCGUAAACGAUGGAUACUAGCUGUUCGACCAACAUUGGUUGGUUGAGUGGCUAAGCGAAAGUGAUAAGUAUCCCACCUGGGGAGUACGGUCGCAAGACUGAAACUCAAAGGAAUUGACGGGGGCCCGCACAAGCGGUGGAGCAUGUGGUUUAAUUCGAUGAUACGCGAGGAACCUUACCAGGGCUUAAAUGUAAGUUGCAUGAUUUAGAGAUAGAUCUUUCUUCGGACUACUUACAAGGUGCUGCAUGGUUGUCGUCAGCUCGUGCCGUGAGGUGUCAGGUUAAGUCCUAUAACGAGCGCAACCCCUGUCGUUAGUUGCCAGCAAGUUAAGUUGGGCACUCUAGCGAGACUGCCAGUGCAAACUGUGAGGAAGGUGGGGAUGACGUCAAAUCAUCACGGCCCUUACGUCCUGGGCUACACACGUGCUACAAUGGUCGGUACAGAGAGCAGCCACUACGCGAGUAGGAGCGAAUCUAUAAAACCGAUCUCAGUUCGGAUCGCAGUCUGCAACUCGACUGCGUGAAGCUGGAAUCGCUAGUAAUCGGAUAUCAGCCAUGAUCCGGUGAAUACGUUCCCGGGCCUUGUACACACCGCCCGUC
rnacentral:rRNA from 1 species